ensembl:rRNA 5S_rRNA 5S ribosomal RNA
CCACCCUGAACGCGCCCGAUCUCGUCUGAUCUCGGAAGCUAAGCAGGGUCGGGCCUGGUGAGUACUUGGAUGGGAGGCCACCAGAAUUUCUUUGU